AUUGAACGCUGGCGGCAUGCCUUACACAUGCAAGUCGAACGGUAACAGGUCUUCGGAUGCUGACGAGUGGCGAACGGGUGAGUAAUACAUCGGAACGUGCCUAGUAGUGGGGGAUAACUACUCGAAAGAGUGGCUAAUACCGCAUGAGAUCUACGGAUGAAAGCAGGGGAUCGCAAGACCUUGUGCUACUAGAGCGGUCGAUGGCAGAUUAGGUAGUUGGUGGGAUAAAAGCUUACCAAGCCGACGAUCUGUAGCUGGUCUGAGAGGACGAUCAGCCACACUGGGACUGAGACACGGCCCAGACUCCUACGGGAGGCAGCAGUGGGGAAUUUUGGACAAUGGGCGCAAGCCUGAUCCAGCAAUGCCGCGUGCAGGAUGAAGGCCUUCGGGUUGUAAACUGCUUUUGUACGGAACGAAAAGCCCUGGGUUAAUACCCUGGGGUCAUGACAGUACCGUAAGAAUAAGCACCGGCUAACUACGUGCCAGCCGCCGCCGUAAAAC
rnacentral:rRNA from 1 species